rnacentral:lncRNA from 1 species
CUUACUAGGUAUCCUGAGGCUGUAGGACAAUUAAUACUCAAAGGAAUAAAAGCAGCAAAGGGAGUGUUUGGAAUUUCUUCCAAUAAAAUUAUUACUCCAUAUACUAUGAAUCAAAUUGAUGAGUUAGCUAAUGAGUUAGAUACUUGGGCAAUAAUCAUGUGCAAAUCUAAUGUUUCAUUUGAUAACCACUUACCAUCUAAUCCUUUAUUGUCUUUUUGGU